rnacentral:rRNA from 1 species
AACGAACGCUGGCGGCAUGCCUAACACAUGCAAGUCGAACGAAACCUUCGGGUCUAGUGGCGCAGGGGUGCGUAACGCGGGGGAACCUGCACUUAAGUUCGGAAUAACUCCCCGAGAGGGGUGCUAAUACCGGAUAAUGUCUUCGGACCAAAGAUUUAUCGCCUGUGGAUGGGCCCGCGGCAGAUUCGCUAGUUGGUGGGGUAAAAGCUUACCAAGGGGUCGAUCGGUAGCUGGUCUGAGAGGAUGACCGGCGACAUUGGGACUGCGAUACGGCCCAGACUCCUACGGGAGGCAGCAGUGGGGAAUAUUGCACAAUGGGAGGAAGCCUGAUGCAGCAACGCCGCGUGCGGGAUGACGGCCUUCGGGUUGUAAACCGCUUUCGCCUGUGACGAAGCGUGAGUGACGGUAAUGGGUAAAGAAGCACCGGCUAACUACGUG